rnacentral:rRNA from 1 species
UACAGAGGUCUCAAGCGUUGUUCGGAUUCAUUGGGCGUAAAGGGUGCGUAGGCGGCGCGGUAAGUCGGGUGUGAAAUCUCGGAGCUUAACUCCGAAACUGCAUUCGAUACUGCCGUGCUUGAGGACUGGAGAGGAGACUGGAAUUCCCGGUGUAGCGGUGAAAUGCGUAGAUAUCGUAAGGAAGACCAGUGGCGAAGGCGGGUCUCUGGACAGUUCCUGACGCUGAGGCACGAAGGUCAGGGGAGCAAACGGG